GUAGGCCUAUCUCAAAACUAAUAAUCAUCGAUAAAUCCUAUGACUGGUCACAGAAUCCCGAGAUAAAAUAAUUGCAUCAUAUAUAACAUUGAAUUGUAUUUAACAAAUGAUAUGCUACACCAUACAUACUGGCAUAGCCUUGUGUCAACAUAUCCAAAGAAUGAACAGCUUGUUGACUGACAUCAUAGUCCAAUAGAUCAGCAUUGGCAAGACAAAAUAA